UCCGGUGGUUAUAGCGAGGGGCAAAGCACCCGAUCCCAUUCCGAACUCGGUCGUGAAAACUCUCUGCGCCGAUGAUACUUUGUCUUAAGGCACGGGAAAGUAGGUCGCUGCCGGGC
rnacentral:rRNA from 1 species